CAAGGUCUUGACUCGGCCUCCAGACUCCCCAGAUUUCGAUCCAAUCAAGCAUCUGUGGGAUGUGCUGGACAACAUCCAAUCCAUGGAGGCCCCACCUUGCAACUUUCAGAACUUAAAGCAUCUGCUUCUAAGGUCUUGGUGCCAGAUACCACAGCACACCUUCAAAGGUCUUGGUGCCAGAUACCACAUCACACCUUCAGAGGUCUUGUGGAGUCCAUACCUUGACAGCUCAGAGCUGUUUUGGCAGCACAAGGGGGACCCACACAACAUUAGCAGGUGGUUUUAAUGUUAUGGCUGAUCAGUGUAGAUGGAAGUGGUAGUGAGUGGCUGUUUUUAAGGAGUCUGGGGGUGCAGGAUGACUGUAUCUGG